AACGUAGGACACGAGCGUUAUCCGGAGUUACUGGGCGUAAAGGGCGUGCAGGCGGUUUUGUAAGUUUGAUGUGAAAGCGCCCGGCUUAACCGGGCGAGGACAUUGGAGACUGCAAGACUAGAGGCAGAUAGAGGGGUGUAGAAUUCCGGGUGUAGUGGCGAAAUGCGUAGAGAUCCGGAGGAAUACCAGAGGCGAAGGCGGCACCCUGGGUCUGACCCGACGCUGAGACGCGACAGCAUGGGGAGCGAACGGG
rnacentral:rRNA from 1 species